UACGUAGGGUGCGAGCGUUAAUCGGAAUUACUGGGCGUAAAGCGUGCGCAGGCGGUUUUGUAAGCCAGAUGUGAAAUCCCCGGGCUUAACCUGGGAAUGGCAUUUGGGACUGCAAGGCUCGAGUGCGGCAGAGGAGACUGGAAUUCCUGGUGUAGCAGUGAAAUGCGUAGAUAUCAGGAGGAACACCGAUGGCGAAGGCAGGUCUCUGGGCUGACACUGACGCUCAUGCACGAAAGCGUGGGGGAGCAAACAGG
rnacentral:rRNA from 1 species